rnacentral:rRNA from 1 species
AGAGUUUGAUCCUGGCUCAGGAUGAACGCUGGCGGCGUGCCUAACACAUGCAAGUCGAGCGAACCCUUCGGGGUGAGCGGCGGACGGGUGAGUAACGCGUGGGUAACCUACCCUGUACACACGGAUAACAUACCGAAAGGUAUGCUAAUACGAGAUAAUAUAUUUUAAUCGCAUGGUUAAGAUAUCAAAGCUCCGGCGGUACAGGAUGGACCCGCGUCUGAUUAGCUAGUUGGUGAGGUAAUGGCUCACCAAGGCGACGAUCAGUAGCCGACCUGAGAGGGUGAUCGGCCACACUGGAACUGAGACACGGUCCAGACUCCUACGGGAGGCAGCAGUGGGGAAUAUUGCACAAUGGGCGAAAGCCUGAUGCAGCAACGCCGCGUGAGCGAUGAAGGCCUUCGGGUCGUAAAGCUCUGUCCUCAAGGAAGAUAAUGACGGUACUUGAGGAGGAAGCCCCGGCUAACUACGUGCCAGCAGCCGCGGUAAUACGUAGGGGGCUAGCGUUAUCCGGAAUUACUGGGCGUAAAGGGUGCGUAGGCGGUCUUUCAAGCCAGAAGUGAAAGGCUACGGCUCAACCGUAGUAAGCUUUUGGAACUGUAAGACUUGAGUGCAGGAGAGGAGAGUGGAAUUCCUAGUGUAGCGGUGAAAUGCGUAGAUAUUAGGAGGAACACCAGUAGCGAAGGCGGCUCUCUGGACUGUAACUGACGCUGAGGCACGAAUGCGUGGGGAGCAAACAGGAUUAGAUACCCUGGUAGUCC